CCUACGGGAGGCUGCAGUGAGGAAUAUUGGUCAAUGGGCUUACGCCUGAACCAGCCAAGUCGCGUGAGGGAAGACUGCCCUAUGGGUUGUAAACCUCUUUUGUCAGGGAGCAAUUGGCGCUACGUGUAGCGUUAUCGAGAGUACCUGAAGAAAAAGCAUCGGCUAACUCCGUGCCAGGAGCCGCGGUAAUACGGAGGAUGCGAGCGUUAUCCGGAUUUACUGGGUGUAAAGGGCGUGUAGCCGGGCUGACAAGUCAGAUGUGAAAUCCCGUGGCUCAACCACGGAACUGCAUUUGAAACUGUCGGUCUUGAGUAUCGGAGAGGCAGGCGGAAUUCCUAGUGUAGCGGUGAAAUGCGUAGAUAUUAGGAGGAACACCAGUGGCGAAGGCGGCCUGCUGGACGACAACUGACGGUGAGGCGCGAAAGCGUGGGGAGCAAACAGGAUUAGAUACCCUUGUAGUC
rnacentral:rRNA from 1 species